GACGAACGCUGGCGGCGUGCUUAACACAUGCAAGUCGAACGGAAAGGCCCUGCUUUUGUGGGGUGCUCGAGUGGCGAACGGGUGAGUAACACGUGAGUAACCUGCCCUUGACUUUGGGAUAACUUCAGGAAACUGGGGCUAAUACCGGAUAGGAGCUCCUGCUGCAUGGUGGGGGUUGGAAAGUUUCGGCGGUUGGGGAUGGACUCGCGGCUUAUCAGCUUGUUGGUGGGGUAGUGGCUUACCAAGGCUUUGACGGGUAGCCGGCCUGAGAGGGUGACCGGCCACAUUGGGACUGAGAUACGGCCCAGACUCCUACGGGAGGCAGCAGUGGGGAAUAUUGCACAAUGGGCGGAAGCCUGAUGCAGCAGCGCCGCGGGCGGGAUGACGGCCUUCGGGUUGUAAACCGCUUUCGCCUGUGACGAAGCGUGAGUGACGGUAAUGGGUAAAGAAGCACCGGCUAACUACGUG
rnacentral:rRNA from 1 species